rnacentral:rRNA from 1 species
UGGGGAAUAUUGCACAAUGGAGGGAACUCUGAUGCAGCGACGCCGCGUGAACGAAGAAGGCUUUCGAGUCGUAAAGUUCUUUUAUAUGGGAAGAUAAUGACGGUACCAUAAGAAAAAGCCCCGGCUAACUACGUGCCAGCAGCCGCGGUAAUACGUAGGGGGCUAGCGUUGUCCGGAAUCACUGGGCGUAAAGGGUUCGCAGGCGGAAAUGCAAGUCAGGUGUAAAAGGCAGUAGCUUAACUACUGUAAGCAUUUGAAACUGCAUAUCUUGAGAAGAGUAGAGGUAAGUGGAAUUUUUAGUGUAGCGGUGAAAUGCGGAGAUAUUAAAAAGAAUACCGGUGGCGAAGGCGACUUACUGGGCUCAUUAUGACGCUGGGGAACGAAAGCGUGGGUAGCAAACAGG